rnacentral:rRNA from 1 species
AAACUUUCAACAACGGAUCUCUUGGCUCUAGCAUCGAUGAAAAACGCAGCGAAAUGCGAUAAAUAAUGGGAAUUGCAAAAUUCAGUGAAUCAUCCAAUCUUUGAACGCACAUUGCGCCUGGGAGUAUUCUGCCAGGGAUGCCUGUCCCAACGUCAUUU